AAGUCACCCAAACCAUGGCUGAGUGUCAUUUGAUAGGAAAAGGCUGGGAUCACAAGGAAGCUUUCUUUCAACCAAAAGAAGAAGUAAGAAAGAAAGAAAAAAACCAGCUGAGGUAAGCAGUGUCAAAUCCAGCUGCAUCAACAUGAGGGUGGCCAGACAAACGAGCACCUUGGCCGGGUCGCGCCAGAGAGCCCAGCCUGAAGCCUUGGCCCAGGCCAGGGAAAGGCUUGGAGGGACCUGGUGAUGCAAAGAUCCCAGCUUGGACAGGAAUCCUCUGCUCCUCUUGUUCUUCUGACCCGUCCACAUAGCUCACCUGGAAGGUGGCUGGAGAGGAAAAUGUCCUGCAGUCUGCACACACAGGACCUUGGGCAUGUGAGGCAGGCAUGGUGUCACUAAGCUAAAUCUCCAGGCCCUCAUCCUUUAUUUGUGAUCAACACAAAAUAAAAUGAGUCCAAGUUAAGAGUAUCAGAUCCCCACAUUUAUAUAAUGCCUAUAAUUUCACAUUAGCAUGAUGUGGAAUUUUCAUAAAAGAAAGUGGAUGCAUUUCAGGGGACUACUUUUCACAUGAACUCGUGAUCAGAAAGUCUCAUUGGAAACUUUUAGUGUCAUUGUUAAAGUCAGAUACCAAUAAACUAUCACCUCUGGAAAUAUUGUGGUCCUUCAAGAGACUUGAAGAGGUGUUGCCUUUAAUCAUUAAGACUGAUUUAGGGUGGGCAGAGCACCCAGGACUGACUGAGCUGAGCUCUGUCUGGCUGGUAAGGACCCCCCAGGCAUGCCCACCAGCCACCAGUGGAACCGUGCAGGUGCCUACAACCACAGAGCCCCCCACCCCACUGCUGCUGCCUCUGGCCUCUUGGCUGUGCAGCUACCUGGUUCCACACUACAGAGGCACAAGGGGACAUAACGGCCAUUGUCCUGAGCUGCAGAUGUGAACAAGAGAGAGGGCCUCUCUCAGGCUCCCUGCUGAUAACUGAAG
rnacentral:lncRNA from 1 species